rnacentral:rRNA from 1 species
AGAGUUUGAUCAUGGCUCAGGACGAACGCUGGCGGCGUGCUUAACACAUGCAAGUGGAGCGACGAACCGGACUUCGGUCCGGGGCAAAGCCGCGAACGGGUGAGUAACACGUGGGUAACCUGCCCCGAUGAUUGGGACAACCUCGGGAAACCGAGGCUAAUACCAAAUGUGCUCACGUCUCAUGAGGGACGUGAAGAAAGGAAGCUUCGGCCUCCGCAUUGGGAUGGGCCCGCGGCGCAUUAGCUUGUUGGUGAGGUAACGGCUCACCAAGGCUUCGAUGCGUAGCUGGUCUGAGAGGACGAUCAGCCACACUGGGACUGAGACACGGCCCAGACUCCUACGGGAGGCAGCAGUGGGGAAUCUUGCGCAAUGCGCGAAAGCGUGACGCAGCAACGCCGCGUGCGGGAAGACGGCCUUCGGGUUGUAAACCGCUUUCAGUUGGGACGAAGCUUCGCCGGUGAAUAGCCGGCCGGAGUGACGGUACCUUCAGAAGAAGCCCCGGCUAACUACGUGCCAGCAGCCGCGGUAAUACGUAGGGGGCUAGCGUUGUCCGGAAUCAUUGGGCGUAAAGCGCGUGUAGGCGGCCCGAUAAGUCCGCUGUGAAAGUCCAGGGCUCAACCCUGGGAUGCCGGUGGAUACUGUCGGGCUCGAGUCCGGAAGAGGCGAGUGGAAUUCCUGGUGUAGCGGUGAAAUGCGCAGAUAUCAGGAGGAACACCAAUGGCGAAGGCAGCUCGCUGGGACGUGACUGACGCUGAGACGCGAAAGCGUGGGGAGCAAACAGGAUUAGAUACCCUAGUAGUCC